AUUGAACGCUGGCGGCAUGCCUUACACAUGCAAGUCGAACGGUAACAGGUCUUCGGAUGCUGACGAGUGGCGAACGGGUGAGUAAUACAUCGGAACGUGCCUAGUAGUGGGGGAUAACUACUCGAAAGAGUGGCUAAUACCGCAUGAGAUCUACGGAUGAAAGCAGGGGAUCGCAAGACCUUGUGCUACUGGAGCGGCCGAUGGCAGAUUAGGUAGUUGGUGGGAUAAAAGCUUACCAAGCCGACGAUCUGUAGCUGGUCUGAGAGGACGAUCAGCCACACUGGGACUGAGACACGGCCCAGACUCCUACGGGAGUCAGCAGUGGGGAAUUUUGGACAAUGGGCGCAAGCCUGAUCCAGCAAUGCCGCGUGCAGGAUGAAGGCCUUCGGGUUGUAAACUGCUUUUGUACGGAACGAAAAGCCCUGGGUUAAUACCCUGGGGUCAUGACGGUACCGUAAGAAUAAGCACCGGCUAACUACGUGCCAGCCGCCGCAGUAAUAC
rnacentral:rRNA from 1 species